UACGUAGGGUGCGAGCGUUAAUCGGAAUUACUGGGCGUAAAGCGUGCGCAGGCGGUUUUGCAAGCCGGAUGUGAAAUCCCCGGGCUCAACCUGGGAAUGGCAUUUGGGACUGCAAGGCUCGAGUGCGGCAGAGGAGACUGGAAUUCCUGGUGUAGCAGUGAAAUGCGUAGAGAUCGGGAGGAACAUCAGUUGCGAAGGCGGCUCUCUGGACCAGCACUGACACUGAGGCACGAAAGCGUGGGGAGCAAACAGG
rnacentral:rRNA from 1 species